CCGCGCCCCGGGCCCCGCGCGCAUACCUGGCGAGGCCACGAGGGGAUUCUGCGGGCCGAGCCCCGCCUGGGCUGCGCCGCCGCAGGCGGGAGAGGCUGAGGAUUCUUUUGGGAAGCCCCUCCGCCGGCUGUAACCCCAGGGCCGUGCCACCCUCCUGAUCACCGCAAGCAUGGACCCCCCAGCACGCUGCGGAUGCCUGGUAUCCAACUGCACUUCUCCAUGUGUGCAUUGUCCCCUGAGCUGGCAAGAAGAUCCUACUAGUUGGUCUGCAUGCCAUGCCAGCUCGGCCUUGCACCCUGGGGGCCCAGCUGUUGUCCACACCAAGGGUGGCCUACAGAGGGAAGUGAGGACCUUGGGACUUCCUCCAGGACAGCCCUCGCUGUCCAAAUCUCCACCUGCUGCAGAGCUGCCUCCAGUCAAGCCCUUGUUUCCAGCUUUCUGUGCCCUAAAUAAACUUCUGCUGGGAUUGAGCCAUCAGCAUUCUGUGGUGGGCGUCGCUGCUGCGAGGUUGCCCUCGUGCACACAAGCUCCUCACAGGACUUCCAGGAUGAUAUGGAAGAGUGACUGAGAGCAGCCGCCCGGUGCUUCCCAACCUUAGAGGGAGGUCACGGGCAGUCUCCCUGCGAUGCUGGCCACAGGUGUGAGGAAGACAGUCCUUAUAGGAAAAUGCCCUCUCGUUCUUAUUCUCUACUUUAAAAAAUCUUUAAAUCAUGAGUAUAAUAAAUGUUAUCAAAUGCCAU
rnacentral:lncRNA from 10 species